rnacentral:rRNA from 1 species
AUCCUGGGCGUAAAGCGUGCGUAGGCGGCCUGGCAAGUCAGACGUGAAAGCCCUCGGCUCAACCGAGGAACUGCGUUUGAUACUGGUGUGCUUGAGUCUCGGAGAGGUUGGCGGAAUUCCUGGUGUAGGGGUGAAAUCCGUAGAUAUCUGGAGGAACACCGGUGGCGAAGGCGGCCAACUGGACCAGUACUGACGCUGAGGUACGAAAGCGUGGGGAGCAAACAGGAUUAGAUACCCUGGUAGUCCACGCUGUAAACGAUGGAUAUUAGGUGUCGGGGGUAUUGACCCCUGUGCCGCAGUUAACCCGUUAAAUAUCCCGCCCGGGGAGUAGGGUCGCAAGGCUGAAACUCAAAUGAAUUGACGGG